UUUUUUUGAGAGUUUGAUCCUGGCUCAGGAUGAACGCUGGCGGCGUGCCUUAAGCAUGCAAGUGGAACGGUCCGGCGUAAGCCGGACAGUCGCAGACGGGUGAGUAAUGCGCAGGAAUCUGCCCCUUGAUGGGGAAUAGCCCGCCGAAAGGUGGGGUAAUACCGCAUAAGCCCCGUGAGAUAAGCAAUUAUCUCAUGGAGGAAAGGCCGUAACUGGCCGUCGAGGGAUGAGCCUGUGUCCUAUCAGCUUGUUGGUAGGGUAAUGGCCUACCAAGGCGAUGACGGGUAGGGGGCGUGAGAGCGCGACCCCCCACAGGGCCACUGAGAUACGGGGCCCACACCUACGGGUGGCAGCAACUGGGAAUCGUUCGCAAUGGGCGAAAGCCUGACGACGCGACGCCGCGUGGUGGAAGACGCCCUUCGGGGUGUAAACACCUGUGGCAGGGGAAGAAGAUCUGACGGUACCCUGCUAGAAAGCACCUGCAAACUACGUGCCAGCAGCCGCGGUAAUACGUAGGGUGCAAGCGUUAUCCGGAUUUACUGGGCGUAAAGAGUCUCGUAGGCGCCCUUCUGCAUCUUAUCUGAAAGCCCUCCGCUCAACGGGGGAGUCGGGUAAGAGAUGAGAAGGGUUGAGUCUGUUUGGGGAAGCUGGAAUUGACGGUGGAGGGGUGAAAUCCGUUGAGAUCGUCAAGAACACCAAGGGCGAAGGCAGGCUUCUAGGACAAGACUGACGCUGAGGAACGAAAGCUAGGGUAGCAAACCGGAUUAGAGACCCGGGUAGUCCUAGCCGUAAACGAUGAAUACUAGCUGGUCCGAUUUAUCGGACUGGCGUAAGCUAACGCGUUAAGUAUUCCGCCUGGGGAGUACGACCGCAAGGUUAAAACUCAAAGGAAUUGACGGGGGAGCGCACAACCAGUGGAGCAUGUGGUUUAAUUCGAAACGAAGCGAAGGACCUUACCUGGGUUUGACAUGCUACCGUUCACCCUGCUGGAAACAGUGGGGGAUCCGCAAGGAUGGUAGCACAGCUGCUGCAUGGCUGUCGUCAGCUCGUGUCGUGAGACGUCCGCUUAAGUGCGGUAACGAGCGCAACCCUUGCCUGCUGUUACAUAUCAGCGGGGACUGCCUUGUUUCAAACAGGGAGGAAGGAGAGGAUGACGUCAAGUCAGCAUGGCGCUUAUGCCCAGGGCCACACACAUCCUACAAUGGGUGGGACAACGGGUUGCAGAGCCGCAAGGUCGAGCUAAUCCUUCAAACCCACCCUCAGUUCAGAUUGCAGGCUGCAACUCGCCUGCAUGAAGUCGGAAUUGGUAGUAAUCGCGGGUCAGCAGACCGCGGUGAAUACGUUCUCGCUCCUUGUACACACUGCCCGUCAAGCCAGCAAAGUCGGCGGCGCCCGAAAUAGGAAUUCCUAACUCGGUAGCAAUACUGGGAGGGAGCUUCCUAAGGCGAAGUCGGCGAUGAAGACUAAGUCGUAACAAGGUAUCCAUACUGGAAGGUGUGGAUGGAUCACCUCCUUUCUA
rnacentral:rRNA from 2 species